rnacentral:rRNA from 1 species
UCCUACGGGAGGCAGCAGUGGGGAAUAUUGGACAAUGGGGGCAACCCUGAUCCAGCCAUGCCGCGUGUGCGAAGAAGGCCCUCGGGUUGUAAAGCACUUUCAGCGAGGAAGAACGCCUAGCGGUUAAUACCCGCUAGGAAAGACAUCACUCGCAGAAGAAGCACCGGCUAACUCCGCGCCAGCAGCCGCGGUAAUACGGAGGGUGCAAGCGUUAAUCGGAAUUACUGGGCGUAAAGCGCGCGUAGGUGGCUUGAUAAGCCGGUUGUGAAAGCCCCGGGCUCAACCUGGGAACGGCAUCCGGAACUGUCAAGCUAGAGUGCAGGAGAGGAAGGUAGAAUUCCCGGUGUAGCGGUGAAAUGCGUAGAGAUCGGGAGGAAUACCAGUGGCGAAGGCGGCCUUCUGGACUGACACUGACACUGAGGUGCGAAAGCGUGGGUAGCAAACAGGAUUAGAUACCCUGGUAGUCCACGCCGUAAACGAUGUCGACCAGCCGUUGGGUGCCUAGCGCACUUUGUGGCGAAGUUAACGCGAUAAGUCGACCGCCUGGGGAGUACGGCCGCAAGGUUAAAACUCAAAUGAAUUGACGG